rnacentral:tRNA from 1 species
GCCACGGUGGUCUAGCGGUUAGAACGCUGGCCUUGUAAUCCUGGGGUCUCGGGUUCGAUUCCCGGCGGUGCUG